UACGGAGGGUGCAAGCGUUAUCCGGAUUCACUGGGUUUAAAGGGUGCGUAGGUGGGUUGGUAAGUCCGUGGUGAAAUCUCCGAGCUUAACUCGGAAACUGCCGUGGAUACUAUCAACCUUGAAUACUGUGGAGGUAAGCGGAAUAUGUCAUGUAGCGGUGAAAUGCUUAGAUAUGACACAGAACACCGAUUGCGUAGGCAGCUCUCUAAACUGUAACUGACGCUGAGGCACGAAAGCGUGGGGAGCAAACAGG
rnacentral:rRNA from 1 species